CGUGGGAGGUUAGGUGCUCGGCUGGUGGCUGUGAGUGAGUGCCCGUUGUGUGUGUGAGUGGGGUGUGGGGGGGGCACCUAGAGGUGGCAGAUGAGGCCCACGGAGGGACAGAGAUGACAGGGUGGGGAAGGGGGAAAGGGAGAUGCAGGGACAAUGUGUAUAUUAUGAGAAGAUCAUCAAGGUGAGAAAUGAUGUCUGUCCAGAGCAUAAAGAGGGAGUCUUUGUUCCAAGAUGAAUUCUUCAGAAAGGACAUUACUCCUGACUGAAAUGCUCCCUGGGCCGGGCCAACAGGCCACACAACUGAGUGACGUGUGCUGGGGAGGGACGUCUGGGGCAAUGGCGGGGCUGGGGGGGCCAGGAGCGGUCCAUUAGUUGUUACUCCUCAGAAGAGUGGCUCAGUCUCGCCAAGGCUGCCAGUGUUUUAAGAACUGGAUUUGCAGAAAAUGUAAUGUUUCUGAAUUUGUAAAACACUGUGCUAGCCAACCAAAACACGUUUAUGGGCCAGAGCGGGCCUGGAGAUGGUCUGUUUGCCACCCACUGUAUCCAUGAUUCUCCAGAGGUGAACCGGGGUCCCAGCUGAAGCAGCGGACAGCAUCGUUGCUCCACAAUUAGCUCCCCAGUUUCUUUGAUGUUAUGCACAUACACUCAAACCUGCAGUGAACCCUUGCGGUUUUGAUAAAGCUCUGAUAAACUCAAGGAAGUGAAAAUAAAGAAGGAAAUGAAGAUAAUUCCUGACUCUGCCUUGCAGAGGAAAGCUCCCUUAUGGAGAGGAGCCCAAGAGAACAGUUUCAACAGAGCACAUAAAAUGAGCAAAGAAAUUUCAUUAAAUAUUUAGCCCAACGAAACCCAGCACUGAAUGUGGACGCCAUGGAACCGUCUUCACUAGGUCAGCACGUACCUUAUGCCUUUGAUCCAGUGUCCCAAGGGAAAAAGAAUUGCGUUUGUAAAUACCUUUCAGGUUUAGAAAUGGCCUCAGAUGACAUUAAUAAAACACUUUGUUUAUUCGGUGCUUUUUGCUGACAAACUGAACGCCAAGGACCAGCAGCCGCUGGAAUCCUAUGAGAGGCAGGUUGCUGGCGGUGAGACCUCGGGGUUUGUAGGUGGCAGGUUGUAUAAAUCAGGACGUAGGCUGCCUUGGUCCCCUGCACUCUUACACAACUGGACUUUGCCUCCUUGGAAGUACCAGUGCUCAGUAAAUAAACAAGGGCAGGGAAGCAGCACUAGUUUAAGCCUCUGAAGGAGGUGAUUUCAGGGGAAAAUCGUGGCAGAACCAGAGCGAAGUUCAUGCUGAGCCCAGGGUACAGUUUCUGGAAUCACUGACGUUUGCAGAUUUAUCCUCUGGCCAGGCAUUGACCGCUUCCCCAGACAUUAUUCUGGUGGCUUCUCUGUUAGCUUUGGGUUGAUAGCCAUGUAGGAAACAUUAAAUCUCUUCUUCUGUUUCUGGAUUGCAGACCGUGUCUCCGGGAGUAAGUUUCUGUGUUUGAUAGCCUUUUGCCCUCCUCACAGAAUAGCCACUCAGUGUUUGGAAGGACCGUGCAGGCCGUUGGCAAUCCUCCCCUGCUGGCCACCGCCCUCCCCAGAUCUCAUGAGCCCUCUGCUCCCCAUGCCUGCAGGGGCGGGGGCUGGGGGGACGAACCUUGGACCAGCUUAGCGCUUUCUUUUCAUUUUGCUUCGCUGGGAGGACAGGCUGACAGUUUCUGCUAAAAAGAGCACAACAGCUUUAUGUGCUACUUUCAAAAAGCUUUUCAGUCUCUUGUCUCUACAUAAGGAGACUUCCUCCUUCACCGCUGCGAUGCUCUGGCCAAGUAGGAGGGUGGAGCAUCUGCAAAGCAUGGCUUCAUGAGCACCUGUUGUGUGAUGCCUUCAUUUUCCAGACUUCUACCAAAAAAAUAAGAAAAAAAAAA